AUUUUCUCUACCUUUUCUUUAUCUGAGCAGUUUCGAUACAAGCGGCGAGUUUAUGCCCAGAACCUCAUCGAUGAUAAGCAGUUUGCAAAGCUUCACACAAAGGCGAACCUGAAGAAGUUCAUGGACUACGUCCAGCUGCAUAGCACGGACAAGGUGGCACGCCUGUUGGACAAGGGGCUGGACCCCAACUUCCAUGACCCUGACUCAGGAGAGUGCCCCCUGAGCCUCGCAGCCCAGCUGGACAACGCCACGGACCUGCUAAAGGUGCU
rnacentral:lncRNA from 1 species